AAAACAGUAUAUACAUAAAAAUCAAUAAGGAAUUAUGUUGAUUUAGACUAAAAUUUCUCUUCUCCUACCUCCUCCUAGCCGGCCCAAUAGAUUGUGUGCAUGCGUGGCCCAUUAGUCUCAACUGAGCGUGUGAGCAAAAGAAGGCCCAAUAGAUUGUGUCCAAUUAGUUUCCGUGCCCGAUUUGUCUCGCUAGCUCAGCAGAGUAUCUCUUCCUCCCUUUCCUGUUUAAAAGAAUCCUAAGAAAAAAA
rnacentral:lncRNA from 7 species